rnacentral:hammerhead_ribozyme from 1 species
AUCCAGCUGAUGCUUUCCAUAUAGGACGAAACGCGCGUCCUGGAU